rnacentral:rRNA from 1 species
UACAGAGGCGGCAAGCGUUGUUCGGAUUUACUGGGCGUAAAGGGUGCGUAGGCGGUUCCGUGUGUCGGAUGUGAAAGCCCACAGCUCAACUGUGGAACGGCAUUCGAAACUACGGUGCUAGAGUACGGGAGAGGAGAGCGGAAUUCUGGGUGUAGCAGUGAAAUGCGUAGAUAUCCAGAAGAACACCGGUGGCGAAGGCGGCUCUCUGGACCGAUACUGACGCUGAGGCACGAAAGCGGGGGGAGCAAACAGGAUUAGAUCCCCUGGUAGCCCCAGCCCUAAGGGGUGUCCACUUGAUGUGGGUGGGAUUGCCCCCGCCAGUGUCGGAGCUAACGUGUUAAGUGCACCGCCUGGGGAGUACGGUCGCAAGAUUA